rnacentral:lncRNA from 1 species
CGGUUCAUUUGAAACUUCAACAUUGUCUAUUUGUAAGAAUGGAUCGAAAAAAUUGACUUUCUGUGAAAGAUCGUCUGAAUUUACUGCCAUUGCAACGACUGAUGUGUACAUGCCAUCUAUGAUAUUAUCUAUCGAUUCCUGAAAUGCAUCAGACGAUAUCUCAGUGUUGGACACCUGGAAAAUGCAAAUUGUUAGAUACAGCUACCAACUGAUAUAACAUUAUACUAACAUUAAUUGGAUCAAAGAGAUCCCAUAUGAAAUAUAUAUUGUAAUAAAUUUUUUAAAUUAUUUUUGUGUCGGAAUUUAACCAAAAAACACCCAUAUUAUGAAAAAAAUGGUAUGUAUCAUAAAUAAAUAUAAUAUGUCUGAUACAAUAUAUAUAGUCCGAAUUUUUUUUUAUAUAAUGUAUCAAAUAAAUUAACUAUUAUGCAUAACCUCUUUUAGAAAAGGAUAUUCCUAAUUAACAUAUAAUCCACAAACGUGUGUUAUAUAUACCUGCGGUUUAUUUCGAACUUCAAUAUUGUCUCUUGCUAAAAUAAGAUCAGAGAGAUUUUCUUUCUGUAAAAGCUCAUCAGGGAAACUUUCUUUCUGUAAAAGAUCAUUAGACUGUAUUGCAAUAACUGGUGAGAAAAUCUCAGCUAUGGUGUUAUCCGUGAAAUGUUAAAACGCAACAUUCUUAACCUCAGUUUCACUCUCCUAAAUUAUGAAAUUGGUUAGAUACAGUUGACAAAAAAUUUAAAAAUUAGUUAAAUGUUAAAGAACCUGUAAGACUUAUAUAGGUUGAAAUAAUAACAUUGUCAAGAAAGAAUUGGCAAAUAUAGCAAUCUUUUUGCAUUGAAUGUAUUAGUUGUACUACAUAUAAUGCAAAAUCUAAUUAACAUAAUGAUUUUCCACAUUAAUAACAUACACUCGAUAUAAUAAUUUUUUAUCAGUACCUUUUCUACAUUUUGAACUUCAAAAUUGUCUCCCUCGAAAUAACUGGAUCAUCAAAAUUGAAUUUCAGAGAAGAUCAGUUGAUGAUUUUUCAUCCCGCUUGUGAUCUUCAGUAGAUACAACAUUUCCAUCAUCAUUCUGAAACACAAAAAUUUUAUUACAUUAUAAAAAUAAUAAACGAUACACAUUUUUAACAUUUCUACUACUUUACUUUUUCUGGUAUAUCCUUUGAAUUUUCUUUUGGAGUUUUCAAAUCAUCAUCUGUCUCAUUUUUUUCACAUCUAUCGAUAUCAAUUGAAACCUGAAAAACAUAUAAUUUUUAAAAAGAUAAAUAUAUAUAAAAUUUAAUAAAAUUUGAUGUGAUUAUAUUAAAAGUUACUUUUUGUGGAGCAUCAUGCUUCUCCUUCACAGCUAACAUCAUCUCUUCAUGUUGUUUUUUCAUUUCUUCAUGAUGUUUUUUCAUUAAUGCUUCAAUAUCAUCAAAUCUUUAGUCAACAGGCAUAAGUUUAACAGAAUAAAUUAGAUAUGUUAAGAUAACCAAUUUUAAAAAUAAAAAUUCAUGUUGCACUUACAUGUCUUGACUUAUCAAUUGCAUUCAUAUCAACUUUCAGCAAAAUUUGCUCAUGAUUGAUUCAGUGUGGACACACGCACACUUUCGACAACUGGUGGUGUCUGUUCGCCGAAAUCCAUUAAAGAUGAUUCAUGUGGAGCUUCUUCAUUGAUUGGCCAGCAUUUGAGUUUGAUGUGACAGAAGGUGAUUUAUUGACUUCUUUAUUAGAGGGGUGGGCUUUAAUAUUUUCUUGACCUGUCACCGAUUCUUUUCG